GCCCCUAUAGCUCAGUGGUAGAGCGUCAGUCUUGUAAACUGAAGGUCUGCCCGAUCCCGCGCAUGGGGCA